GACGAACGCUGGCGGCGUGCUUAACACAUGCAAGUCGAACGGAAAGUCCCUGCUCCUGUGGCGGGCGCGAGUGGCAAACGGGAGAGUAACCCGUGAGUAACCUGCCCUUGACUUUAGGCUACCUUCAGUACACUGUGGCUAAUACCGCAUAGGAACUCAUCCGCCCUGGUGGGGGUUGGAAAGUUUCGGCGGAUGGGGAUGGACUCGCGGCGUAUAAGCCUGUUGUUGGGGUAGUGUCUUACCAAGGCAUUGACGGGUAGCCGGCCUGAGCGGGUGACCGGCAACCAUGGGACUGAUGUAAGGCCGAGACUCCUACGGGAGGCAGCAGUAGUGAAUAUUGCACCAUGGGCGGAGGACUGAUGAAGCAGCGCCGCGUGGGGGAGGACGACCGUCGGGUUGUAGUCCGCUGUCUCCUCUGAAGAAGCGUGAGUGACGGUAAUUGGUGAAGAAGCACCGGCUAACUACGUG
rnacentral:rRNA from 1 species